CUGUUAUUGAAAAUUGGAAUGUUAGCAUUUUUUUUGACAGUCAAUAUUCGGUAUAAAUUGAAGAUCAUUGGCCAUUGGGGUCUACCACUACUAAUAUGUUUGUCCCGUAUUCAGAGAAGAAUUCCUUUAACAUAUACCCAUCACAGAAGUGAGGUCCAGGACAAUUCAAGUAUAUCUUAUGAUUAUCCUUUGUAAUAAAUUCCAUUUUUUUUUUAUGAAUGUGUAUUUAGAAUUAUCUUAAUUUUUUGUAUGAGAAUAAUGUUCCUUGUUUUCCGUACGAACAUAUUAAAUUAAAAAAAUUCUUAAUAUGACAAAAAGGAAAACAUAUGGCCAGGAAUAUCUGACAAGGAUCUCAAUUAAGGACUAGGUCCUAACAACCACUUAACCUUUUAUAUAAUAUGGUACAUAGACUCAGCUCUGUGAUUCUUUUCAAAGCAGAACCAAAUGCAUUGUACAAUGAAAGUUCCAACCAUGUACUUGGGUCCGAAGCUGCACAUAACUCAUUACAAACAAAGAUUUAUUUCGUUUCAAGCCAUUGUUUCCCUACUAAACUAUGUAUUCUACUUACUAGUACACUUGGUACAAUCAAAAACCUCAGCUGAUAAAAAAUUGUUCAAAUAAGGCCUUUGAAAAUAGUGGAAUAAAUUGCUUUUAGAGUGUCAAAAUUCGUUCGAAG
rnacentral:lncRNA from 1 species